GAUGAAGAACGCAGCGAAAUGCGAUAAGUAAUGUGAAUUGCAGAAUUCAGUGAAUCAUCGAAUCUUUGAACGCACAUUGCGCCCAUUAGCAUUCUAGUGGGCAUGCCUGUUCGAGCGUCAUUUCAACCCUUAAGCCCUGUUGCUUAGCGUUGGGAGCCUACAGUACUGUAGCUCCCCAAAGUUAGUGGCGGAGUCGGUUUCACACUCUAGACGUAGUAAUUUUUUCUCGUCUGUAGUUGAGCCGGUCCCCUGCCGUAAAACACCCCAUUUAUCAAGGUUGACCUCGGAUCAGGUAGGAAUACCCGCUGAACUUAAGCAUAUCAAUAAGCGGAGGA
rnacentral:misc_RNA from 1 species